GCGAUGAGCUAAUUUGUGUAAGUCGAAGAACAAGCUUUUAGCUAAACGUCGGGAUGUGGCCUGACGGUUCUGCGCCACAAACGCAUCAAAGACGCCUGCUGCGUGCAGGCGUC
rfam:Bacillus sp. FJAT-22058 super1, whole genome shotgun sequence.